UACGUAGGGUGCGAGCGUUGUCCGGAAUUACUGGGCGUAAAGAGCUCGUAGGUGGUUUGUCGCGUUGUCCGUGAAAACUCACAGCUUAACUGUGGGCGUGCGGGCGAUACGGGCAGACUGGAGUACUGCAGGGGAGACUGGAAUUCCUGGUGUAGCGGUGGAAUGCGCAGAUAUCAGGAGGAACACCGGUGGCGAAGGCGGAUCUCUGGGCCUUACCUGACGCUCAGGUGCGAAAGCUAGGGGAGCGAACAGG
rnacentral:rRNA from 1 species